rnacentral:rRNA from 1 species
GAUGAACGCUGGCGGCGUGCUUAACACAUGCAAGUCGAGCGAUGAAGUUUCCUUCGGGAAACGGAUUAGCGGCGGACGGGUGAGUAACACGUGGGUAACCUGCCUCAUAGAGUGGAAUAGCCUUCCGAAAGGAAGAUUAAUGCCGCAUAAUGUUGAAAGAUGGCAUCAUCAUUCAACCAAAGGAGCAAUCCGCUAUGAGAUGGACCCGCGGCGCAUUAGCUAGUUGGUGGGGUAACGGCUCACCAAGGCCACGAUGCAUAGCCGACCUGAGAGGGUGAUCGGCCACACUGGGACUGAGACACGGCCCAG